CGACUACAUCAUCAGGAGGUUCAGGAAAUUCAUCAAUUAUUGAGACAACGACCACAUUAUCAGGAGGUUCAGCAAAUUCAUCACUUAAUGAGACAACGACUACAUCAUCCGGAGGUUCAGGAAAUUCAUCAAUUAUUGAGACAACGACCACAUUAUCAGGAGGUUCAGCAAAUUCAUCACUUAAUGAGACAACGACUACAUCAUCCGGAGGU